rnacentral:rRNA from 1 species
CAGCCGCCGCGGUAAUACAGAGGAUGCAAGCGUUAUCCGGAAUGAUUGGGCGUAAAGCGUCUGUAGGUGGCUUUUCAAGUCCGCCGUCAAAUCCCAGGGCUCAACCCUGGACAGGCGGUGGAAACUACCAAGCUGGAGUAUGGUAGGGGCAGAGGGAAUUACCGGUGGAGCGGUGAAAUGCGUUGAGAUCGGAAAGAACACCAACGGCGAAAGCACUCUGCUGGGCCGACACUGACACUGAGAGACGAAAGCUAGGGGAGCAAAUGGGAUUAGAUACCCCUGUAGUCCCUGUCUCUUAUAC